GGGGCUGUAGCUCAGUGGUAGAGCGCUCGCCUAGCACAUGUGAGGCCCUGGGUUUGAUCCUCAGCACCA
rnacentral:tRNA from 1 species